rnacentral:lncRNA from 1 species
GGCACAGAGGCCAAAGGAAGCUGGAAACAGCCAGGAAUAGACACCCAGAAGAAACGCCUGAAGAUUAAAACGCCCCAAGAACCAGCUAUCAGGCUGGGCCUCUGACUCCCGCGCAAGGUCACCUCCUUGCUGAGGCAGAAAGGCGCCCCCACGGCGGCGGCGGCCUCCGCGUGGAGUCGCGGCUGCCCGAAGCCCUUCAACAGGACACGAAGCGACGUCCUGAAUGUUGGAAGGCGAUGCAUCGGAGGCUGCGCACCAAGGGUCAGUGCCGGGUGGAAAUGAUCAAACGAGGAGAAGGAAGGAAAACUUGGCACCUGCCAAAGACGGCAACUCAAGCUCCCGUUCCCUUGUGAGUGAUUUGGUAGCUUGCAUAACGAAGCCACCACCAGGCAGAACCAUCCAGCUCAAGGCUCCACGUUUGACCUUGGAUCUGCUCCAUGGUCCUGGAUUACAGGCUCUACAUGAGAAGGCACUUUGUAAUACUUCUGGAAUUGGCUUCAAGGUCGGGGUGCCCCAUGUUCAUUGUCAUUCUUUCGUUCGUAUGUUUUUUUGAGCGCCUAGGAUAGGCUAUGCACUUGGCUGCGGCUAAAUUUUGGGUGAAGAUUUAGAAGUUAGCUCUUUGGG